UACGGAGGGUGCAAGCGUUAUCCGGAUUCACUGGGUUUAAAGGGUCCGUAGGCGGUCUAAUAAGUCAGUGGUGAAAGCCCAUCGCUCAACGAUGGAACGGCCAUUGAUACUGUUAGACUUGAAUUAUUGGGAAGUAACUAGAAUAUGUAGUGUAGCGGUGAAAUGCUUAGAUAUUACAUGGAAUACCAAUUGCGAAGGCAGGUUACUAUCAAUAUAUUGACGCUGAUGGACGAAAGCGUGGGGAGCGAACAGG
rnacentral:rRNA from 1 species